CCAUCUUUUUGCACGAUCACUAAUUUUCAAAAAAUGGUUUCAUCGCACUGAAAUGGAGGAAUUUUCUACUGCAGAAGAUAGGGCGGCUCUACGUAUCCUGAAUGAACUAUUAUCAGAACAAGAAACCUCUGUGGAACAACAGUUUACAGGAAAUACUCAAUACUGCAACAUUAUCAUCUAUCAUUACCAAAGAUUUGGCUGAGGCAUUACAAGUACAGUAUCCAGUGAUACCUACAUUAUAUUUGUUGCCUAAGGUGCACAAGAACCAGACACGUCCACCAGAGACACCACAGAUCUUCUACAGCGAAUUGAGGGACUACAAUUGGAACCGGACACUCUGCUAGUUACUUGUGAUAUUGAAUCACUUUAUACUAGUAUUAGACAUACUGACGGCCUUGCAGCAGCGAAAUUCUUCCUGGAUUCGAGUAACUACACACCACCCAUGAAAGAGAUCCUGCGGGCUACCUUCAGACAAAUGUUUUCCGUAAAGAGACAUCAGUAAACUCCUAUCUUCAUGCGACCUCCUCCCACCCACCUCAUAUGAUCAAAGCGGUGCCGUAGUGUCAGUACCUUCGCGCUAGACGAAUUUGCUCUUCAGAUGCCGCUUUCAAAGAACAGGCUGAUGACUUGAGAGAAUGUUUUAAAGAGAGGGGGUAUAGUAACCGGAACAUCAGAAAAGCUUACAACAGAGCCAAGAAUCA